rnacentral:rRNA from 1 species
UACGGGGGGGGCAAGCGUUGUUCGGAAUUACUGGGCGUAAAGGGUCUGUAGGCGGCCAACUAAGUCAGACGUGAAAUCCCCCGGCUCAACCGGGGAACUGCGUCUGAUACUGGAUGGCUUGAAUCCGGGAGAGGGAUGCGGAAUUCCAGGUGUAGCGGUGAAAUGCGUAGAUAUCUGGAGGAACACCGGUGGCGAAGGCGGCAUCCUGGACCAAUACUGACGCUGAGGAGCGAAAGCCAGGGGAGCAAACGGG